UUGCUCUUCAACGAGGAAUACCUAGUAAGCGUGAGUCAUCAGCUCGCGUUGAUUACGUCCCUGCCCUUUGUACACACCGCCCGUCGCUACUACCGAUUGAAUGGCUUAGUGAGGCCUUGGGAUUGGCUUCGGGGAGCCGGAAACGGCACCCUGUUGCUGAGAACUUGGUCAAACUUGGUCAUUUAGAGGAAGUAAAAGUCGUAACAAGGUUUCCGUAGGUGAACCUGCGGAAGGAUCAUUAUCGAGUUUUGAAACAGGUUGUAGCUGGCCUUUCUAACCAGGAAGGCAUGUGCACGCCUGGCUCAUUCCACUCUUCAACCUCUGUGCACUUAUUGUAGGUCGGUGGAAAGCUUGGAGCUUUAAAAGGCUUCAAGUUGGAAGCCUUCCUAUGUUUUACUACAAACGCUUCAGUUAUAGAAUGUUUAUCUUGCGUAUAACGCAUUUAUAUACAACUUUCAGCAACGGAUCUCUUGGCUCUCGCAUCGAUGAAGAACGCAGCGAAAUGCGAUAAGUAAUGUGAAUUGCAGAAUUCAGUGAAUCAUCGAAUCUUUGAACGCACCUUGCGCUCCCUGGUAUUCCGGGGAGCAUGCCUGUUUGAGUGUCAUGGAAUUCUCAACCUUUUAAAUUUUUGUUAACCAAAAGUUUAAAAGGCUUGGACUUGGAGGCUUGUGCUGGCUCUAAUUUGUUGAGUCGGCUCCUCUUAAAUGCAUUAGCGUGAAUGUUUACGGAUCGCUUCGGUGUGAUAAUUAUCUGCGCCGUGGUUGUGAAGUAUCGAUAAGUUUACGCUUCUAAUCGUCCUUUCAAUAGGACAAUUAAUAAAACUUGACAUCUGGCCUCAAAUCAGGUAGGACUACCCGCUGAACUUAAGCAUAUCAAUAAGCGGAGGA
rnacentral:rRNA from 1 species